UCAGUGGCGGAGUGGAUAGCGCGAUGGCGAUUGAAGCGAAAGGUACUGGGUUCGAGUCCCAGAGUGA
rnacentral:tRNA from 1 species